AACGAACGCUGGCGGCAUGCCUAACACAUGCCAGUCGAACGAGACCUUCGGGUCUAGUGGCGCACGGGUGCGUAACGCGUGGGAACCUGCCCUUAGGUUCGGAAUAACUCCCCGAAAGGGGUGCUAAUACCGGAUAAUGACUUCGGACCAAAGAUUUAUCGCCUUUGGAUGGGCCCGCGUUGGAUUAGCUAGUUGGUAGGGUAAAAGCCUACCAAGGCGACGAUCCAUAGCUGGUCUGAGAGGAUGAUCAGCCACACUGGGACUGAGACACGGCCCAGACUCCUACGGGAGGCAGCAGUGGGGAAUAUUGACAAUGGGCGAAAGCCUGAUCCAGCAAUGCCGCGUGAGUGAUGAAGGCCUUAGGGUUGUAAAGCUCUUUUACCCGGGAUGAUAAUGACAGUACCGGGAGAAUAAGCUCCGGCUAACUCCGUG
rnacentral:rRNA from 1 species